UAGCAUAUCAUAAGCGAGAAAGAAACACCGGGAUGCCUAGUACGCGAGUGAAGCGGCAACAGCUCAAAUUUGAAAUCUGGAGCCUUUGGCUUCCGAGUUGUAAUUUGCAGAGGGAGCCUCGGAGGGCGAGACGGUCCAAGUGCCUUGGAACAGGAUACCGCAGAGGGUGAGAGUCCCGUAUCCGGCCGAUCUUGCGCUCCGUGUGAGGCCCCUUCGACGAGUCGAGUUGUUUGGGAAUGCAGCUCCAAGCGGGUGGUAAAUUCCAUCUAAAGCUAAAUACUGGCCAGAGACCGAUAGCGAACAAGUAGAGUGAUCGAAAGAUGAAAAGCACUUUGAAAAGAGAGUCAAACAGUACGUGAAAUUGUUGAAAGGGAAGCGCAUGGGGGCAGACUUGGACGCGGGGUUCAGCGUUUCUUUUUGGAGCGUGUACUUCCCCGCGUGCAGGCCAGCAUCGGUUCCGGGGGCCGGACAAAGACGUUGGGAAUGUGGCUCCCCUCGGGGAGUGUUAUAGCCCGGCGUGCAAUGCGGCCACCUGGGACCGAGGACCGCGCCUUGUGCAAGGAUGCUGGCGUAAUGGCCUCAUGCGGCCCGUCUUGAAACACGGACCAAGGAGUCUAACAUCUAUGCGAGUGUUUGGGUGGCAAGCCCGGACGCGCAAUGAAAGUGAACGGAGGUGGGAGUCUGUUACAGGACGCACCAUCGACCGAUCCGGACGUCUUCUGAAGGAUUUGAGUAAGAGCAUAGCUGUUGGGACCCGAAAGAUGGUGAACUAUGCGUGAAUAGGGUGAAGCCAGAGGAAACUCUGGUGGAGGCUCGCAGCGGUUCUGACGUGCAAAUCGAUCGUCAAAUUUGCGUAUAGGGGCGAAAGACUAAUCGAACCAUCUAGUAGCUGGUUCCUGCG
rnacentral:rRNA from 1 species